rnacentral:tRNA from 1 species
GCGCAAGUAGCUCAGUUGGAUAGAAUAUCUGACUACGAAACAGUUGGUCAUAGGGUUCGAAACUCUCCCGGCGCA